AGUGCUAUGAAAACGAGCAGUCAAUAGGCAGCUAUUUGCUUGUGAGUGUUCUGGUUAGUUUGAAUUGGGGUGCUUUCUCUCACACUGAACUCUCAUUGGUCGACUCCAAGGAACCCCUGCUCUCUCCUUAUCUUUUUGGCACUGAGUAGUUAUAUUAGUGAGAGGCACCAACAAUCAGAUUACUUGCAGUUUAGGCUGUGUGGAGUAAGUCUACGGGGAAAAGAGGAUUUGUGUUUUAACAGCACUUUCAGUUUGUGAAAAGAAGUGAUUAAUUUCCUAAGUGGCUAGCCAGUGGAGAAUGUGGAUGGAUUUGUUUACAGUUAGAAGGACAUUUCAGGCCACUGCUGAUUUGUUAUACUUAGUUAACACUAGAUGUCUGACUCAUCUAUAGUCACACCUACGUAUAUAUAUGAAACUCUGAUGUGCAAUCAUUGAUAUACUAUUUAAAUCGCACAUGGACUUGCCCACACUUUCGGUUUGAGCCGAGUGUUUGACGGAAACAACUAAAAAUGUUUACAUGCGGAAGUCCAUAAUAAUGGUAUAAGAGUGUAAAAAGUUUUCAUGUUACGGUUUUCAUUGAUUUGAGGCCAUUUAAUUGAUAUUUUCUGUGUACACGGCAGAGGAAUUUCUUAUAGAAUUGUUCAUUGACUGAGACAGUUUAACGCAGUGUGUCGCUCCUUUGAAGUGAGUUGUGGACUUUAAAAUUCCUCCGUGGACCGCAUUAAAGAGGUAGUAUAGUGUCAAUCAAACGCUGAGCGUAGAGUCGCGAGGCGGCUACAGCUGAAAGGAAAGAGGGUCCUACACGUGUCUACUGCCUACUGUCAGCGACAAACGCUCACUGACGCGCAGGAAGGAAACUUGUCACCAAACUCGUAACUUUCUACUUGAAAACAUGGACUUAACAAACAUAUUGGGAAACAUACCAGGAGAAAAAAAUUUACAUUGUCAUAUUCGUUGAAAAAUCUCUUGAGGGAUAUACUUUAAAUAAGACUUGUGACUUUAUGAAAGUUAAAUCAAUUAAAUCAAGAUCAUGGGUGCUAGCAAUUCGCAGAUAGAUUCGGACUCGGAUCCCCGGUACAAUAUUGAGAAGAAUUCCAAACACUGCAGUACUAAUUUUCAAAGACUGCAAUACCAUGGAGUCCGGUACCCUAAAGGCAGGCCAGACCCACCAGAGGGCAGCCCCACGGCUCAAAACAUAACCCAGUCCUCUGUAACACUGAAAUGGACACCUCCCUACGGGUGUCCCACCAGUACCAUACUCGCAUAUCAGGUCGAAGUUUGCCGUGUACAGGACAAACGAUGGAAGAUGGUGACAAACUCAUGUCAGGGGAACACUUACGAUGUGAAAAAUCUGGCACCAGGUACAGACUAUAUGUUUAGAGUCCGGACAGAAAAUGUGUACGGAAAAAGUAAACCCAGUGCUCCAUCGGAGGUGAUUAGGACUACUCAGUGAAAACCGAUGGAUGACUGCGAGGGAGGACAAAGAAGCAGACGACAGAGGAGUGAGACUGACCAGAAGACACAGCCAUUACAUCAAAGUGGAAAACAGUGUGUCCAAUCUUUACAGAAGACUGAUAAAGAGGAAGAAAUGAGUGAAGUGGGCACCAUUCCCUUCAAAAGAAACAGUAGCAUCCGGCACUCCCUUCCUGUGCAGUGUGUCCGCCGGACUUCCCCUCUACCUUCCAGCAUACUGCCAGGAUCCCGGCGGGAGAGUGUGUGUAGUCUGAAAGAUAGGGAGUCCAGGAAAUCCAUUGAAGAAUCCUCAUGUGUUCACUGAUGAUACUGAUGAAGUGUCAUCCCUAAAACUUAAGAGAUUCUCACUCGCGUCUACAGAGGAUGAUUCUUGUAAAUGCUCAUCUUCUGCAGCUUCGAUGACAUCAAUUCCAGAGGAGCUGAAUGACUCUAAAGGAGAGAAAGACUCGGACCUCUUCAUAGUGAAAACCCCUCCCCCCACCUGGAGGUACAACUCUCAGUCUCAUGAUAUUCUCUCUGCCCCUUACUCAGAUGACACCAAGCUCGCCUGGGUAACGGAUCAGAAAUCUCCACUACCCAAUCAUCAAAACUCAGAAAACACAUCACCUGUGUGGAGAGACAGACCUGAAAAUAACAAAAACCUCCAAGACUUCCGAUCACUUAGAAAUGCCUUGAAUUCUAAUGAUCUCUUAGUGAAAACUCUUAAUGCCGAUAAUAAUGGAAAUUACUCCACUCUCAAUUCCAAAGGCAAGCUUUAUGAAAAGGUGAUUAAAGAAGAAGAUGAGCACAAUAUUUCAAUGGAUAUUGUGUCAAAUGUAUAGUACAUCAAGACAACUAUUCUUGACCCAUAUUUUACGGGUAUAUCGAGCAUAAUUUUAGGUAACUGUGUCAGAAGGAUCCUUUGCUCUAUGUUCACUACAAAAGACAGAGACAGAUUUGGACAGCAUUUUAUCUAGUCUUUUGUUCCGCCAAAUGAGUCCAACCAUUGUGCUUAUAAUCCAAGGCUUAAUCACAGCAGAUCUAUUUUAUACUUCAUAGUUUUUAUCAUGUACUUUAAUCCUCAAAAAUGUUAUUGAAGACAAUAGCUGCAUAUUUUGAUGCAUUCAUAUUUCAAUCUGCAUAUUACAUAUACAGGUGUCUUGAUAAUCAGAAAGGAGAAGCAAUUUAUUUAGUUCAAUAUACCACAGCUUGGAUGUUCUCACCAAAGACUAUUUAAUACAUGUUCAAUUAUUUAUUGUUAUAAAACUUGUGAAACACUG
rnacentral:misc_RNA from 1 species